rnacentral:rRNA from 1 species
CAGUCGAACGAAGCAUUUAAGACAGAUUACUUCGGUUUGAAGUCUUUUAUGACUCAGUGGCGGACGGGUGAGUAACGCGUGGGUAACCUGCCUCAUACAGGGGGAUAGCAGCUGGAAACGGCUGGUAAUACCGCAUAAGCGCACAGUACCACAUGGUACAGUGUGAAAAACUCCGGUGGUAUGAGAUGGACCCGCGUCUGAUUAGCUUGUUGGCGGGGUAACGGCCCACCAAGGCGACGAUCAGUAGCCGACCUGAGAGGGUGACCGGCCACAUUGGGACUGAGACACGGCCCAGACUCCUACGGGAGGCAGCAGUGGGGAAUAUUGCACAAUGGAGGAAACUCUGAUGCAGCGACGCCGCGUGAGUGAAGAAGUAGUUCGCUAUGUAAAGCUCUAUCAGCAGGGAAGAUAGUGACGGUACCUGACUAAGAAGCUCCGGCUAAAUACGUGCCAGCAGCCGCGGUAAUACGUAUGGAGCAAGCGUUAUCCGGAUUUACUGGGUGUAAAGGGAGUGUAGGUGGCCAGGCAAGUCAGAAGUGAAAGCCCGGGGCUCAACCCCGGGAUUGCUUUUGAAACUGCAGGGCUAGAGUGCAGGAGGGGCAAGUGGAAUUCCUAGUGUAGCGGUGAAAUGCGUAGAUAUUAGGAGGAACACCAGUGGCGAAGGCGGCUUGCUGGACUGUAACUGACACUGAGGCUCGAAAGCGUGGGGAGCAAACAGGAUUAGAUACCCUGGUAGUCCACGCCGUANACGAUGAAUACUAGGUGUCGGGGCNCAUAAGUGCUCCGGUGCCGCAGCAAACGCAAUAAGUAUUCCACCUGGGGAGUACGUUC